GCCUGGGUGGCUGAGUCGGUUAAGCAUCCAACUUCGGCUCAGGUUAUGAUCUCAUGACCGUGGGUUCGAGCCCCAUGUCAGGCU
rnacentral:tRNA from 1 species